GACCGUACAAUCCACCCCGAGACCCCGCCAACAACGCCGUCCCCUCCGCCCGACGUGAGCUCUACGGUGGCGGAUUUCCAGCGUUCCACCUCGUCAUCAGCCAGCACACUUUGUCUCGAUUCCAGCAGCUGUAAAAACAACAAUGAAUCAGUACUGUGCGAUGCGUACGGACACAACACAUCGAUCAAUGCACCUGAAAAAGUCAGCAAAUAAACUCUGACCUGCUUUCUUCUCGCUCGACUCCGCGCUGAACUCUGCAAUGAGUGUUCCGGCUGGAAAACCUGAAGCUCCUGCGUUCCGUCUCAAAAUACGUCUCACAGGGAGCUGGAAAACAAUUAAAUGAGUGUGAUAUGAAUACAAAAAAAAUCAAACGCAAGUCACAGUAACAUUUAACAAGGAAGGAGAAACAGUAAACGGCGUUACUUACACACAAUGACGUCGUCUAAAUCUGGACUUUUCCCGGAGCAAAUACGAGGUCACCGCCUCAUUAUGAGGCGCGAUUAGUCUGUGAAAACAAAAUGUACAGUUAUGAUCGGUAUCCAUCCUAUGGUAUCUUUACGUAUAUAUUCCCUUAUACCGCAGGAUGAAAGCAUAUUCUUUACAUCUGACCCUUUCUCCGGUUCGUAGCGCUUGUAGUUCGUCUCGGAGUUGUGAAGACGGCGCAGCGCUUCCUGUAAACGACACGGCAAAGAAAACACACUUUAAUAAAGCUGUUUCUGCUCACUUGUAAGGCUACUAGGCUACUCUUAGCUUAGCUUGAGGCUACGCUACUUUUAGCUUAGCUAGCAGUCAUCAAACGUAUUCUUACCGCUAUCUUGGGAUUGUGCGCCCGUCUCCUCUUCUUUGAGUCGGUUCCUCUCCUCCAUGAACAGAAACCCGCAGAGUCCCGACUGCUCCAGUGGAGCGAACCGCUCGUUGAUAUCGGCAGUUUGUUGUUGGAGUUGACGAGACGAUCCACUGAGAGCAUCAGCAGCUUCUUCUCGUCUGUCUGCGGACUGGCCGAAAGUUGGUGACCGCGGAGAGGAGUUGAAGGCGAGUUGAACGCGAGACGUCGUCCCGCCAUUAUUCACGAACCAGCAAAAACCAAACAAAGGAACUGGAGAUACAGUUCUUCUGAAUAUAGUAACACACGUGUCUGUUUGUAUGCUCGUCUUGCAAGUACUGCUGUCUGAGUCAUGCCUAUGACCUCACACGUGAUUGGACGAGGAGUCUAAGGGUCCUCCAAUCACAUACGAGGCUAUUGUUAUACGGAAGGACCAGUAUUUUAGGAAGACAAAUGGUUGGGACUUUGAAACAGCUGAUAUGCUUUAUGUAAAGCAGUGUGUUGGUGUCAGCAGAACGACUUUCCCUAGAAAACUGUACAGUGCCUCUUUCUCCAUUCCACCAGACAAUCUAGAGUCUGACAGACAUGCAAUGUUGACAAUGUAUCAUCAGAUGUACCCUUGUGUCACUGAGGUUGAAUGUUUUGCCAUGACAUGUAAACGGGUAACAUAUAUGAAUGUAACUUACUCAAUCGAUAGAUGCAGAGCAUAAAGGUCAGCAUAUGUUUAUGCUAAGUGGUGUGGAAACACUAACAGUUUUGAGGAACCCGUCCUUGACCCUCUAGCAGAACUACGACCAGCCAUUAUAAAGCAGUUUAUAGUUGUUAAUGUUGGGUCAAAGGGUACGGCAUUUAAACAUGUUCUUGCACAAGUUUCCUGGCUUCAUCUCCACCCGGACAGACAUUUUUAUGGAAAGCCAAUAGAAGUUUGGGGCUUGCAGGGAACAGACACGUCAUACAGCAUCAUUUCUGCCAGUUGAGCGCAUUGCUAGAAGAUGUGUGGUUAAUACAUCCUCUGUGCAUUUAAGAAGACCAAAGAAAAGGUCACUGUAGUCCUGCCACUAUGCACUGUAGUUGAGCUCUAGGAGACUGUGAUCUCUGCAG
ensembl:lncRNA